CCCUCUUCUGCCAGUUCAUCGUUAAUCGGAUAAUAAUUGAUAGAACGUGCUACUCCUGAAAUAGAAGGAUAAAAACGCUUUUGUAUAAUGGGUCAGCGACUUAUAUUCUGUAGCAAGGUUAACCGAAUAGGGGAGCCGAAGGGAAACCGAGUCUUAACUGGGCGUUAAGUUGCAGGGUAUAGACCCGAAACCCGGUGAUCUAGCCAUGGGCAGGUUGAAGGUUGGGUAACACUAACUGGAGGACCGAACCGACUAAUGUUGAAAAAUUAGCGGAUGACUUGUGGCUGGGGGUGAAAGGCCAAUCAAACCGGGAGAUAGCUGGUUCUCCCCGAAAGCUAUUUAGGUAGCGCCUCGUGAAUUCAUCUCCGGGGGUAGAGCACUGUUUCGGCAAGGGGGUCAUCCCGACUUACCAACCCGAUGCAAACUGCGAAUACCGGAGAAUGUUAUCACGGGAGACACACGGCGGGUGCUAACGUCCGUCGUGAAGAGGGAAACAACCCAGACCGCCAGCUAAGGUCCCAAAGUCAUGGUUAAGUGGGAAACGAUGUGGGAAGGCCCAGACAGCCAGGAUGUUGGCUUAGAAGCAGCCAUCAUUUAAAGAAAGCGUAAUAGCUCACUGGUCGAGUCGGCCUGCGCGGAAGAUGUAACGGGGCUAAACCAUGCACCGAAGCUGCGGCAGCGACGCUUAUGCGUUGUUGGGUAGGGGAGCGUUCUGUAAGCCUGCGAAGGUGUGCUGUGAGGCAUGCUGGAGGUAUCAGAAGUGCGAAUGCUGACAUAAGUAACGAUAAAGCGGGUGAAAAGCCCGCUCGCCGGAAGACCAAGGGUUCCUGUCCAACGUUAAUCGGGGCAGGGUGAGUCGACCCCUAAGGCGAGGCCGAAAGGCGUAGUCGAUGGGAAACAGGUUAAUAUUCCUGUACUUGGUGUUACUGCGAAGGGGGGACGGAGAAGGCUAUGUUGGCCGGGCGACGGUUGUCCCGGUUUAAGCGUGUAGGCUGGUUUUCCAGGCAAAUCCGGAAAAUCAAGGCUGAGGCGUGAUGACGAGGCACUACGGUGCUGAAGCAACAAAUGCCAUGCUUCCAGGAAAAGCCUCUAAGCAUCAGGUAACAUCAAAUCGUACCCCAAACCGACACAGGUGGUCAGGUAGAGAAUACCAAGGCGCUUGAGAGAACUCGGGUGAAGGAACUAGGCAAAAUGGUGCCGUAACUUCGGGAGAAGGCACGCUGAUAUGUAGGUGAAGCGACUUGCUCGUGGAGCUGAAAUCAGUCGAAGAUACCAGCUGGCUGCAACUGUUUAUUAAAAACACAGCACUGUGCAAACACGAAAGUGGACGUAUACGGUGUGACGCCUGCCCGGUGCCGGAAGGUUAAUUGAUGGGGUCAGCGCAAGCGAAGCUCUUGAUCGAAGCCCCGGUAAACGGCGGCCGUAACUAUAACGGUCCUAAGGUAGCGAAAUUCCUUGUCGGGUAAGUUCCGACCUGCACGAAUGGCGUAAUGAUGGCCAGGCUGUCUCCACCCGAGACUCAGUGAAAUUGAACUCGCUGUGAAGAUGCAGUGUACCCGCGGCAAGACGGAAAGACCCCGUGAACCUUUACUAUAGCUUGACACUGAACAUUGAGCCUUGAUGUGUAGGAUAGGUGGGAGGCUUAGAAGUGUGGACGCCAGUCUGCAUGGAGCCGACCUUGAAAUACCACCCUUUAAUGUUUGAUGUUCUAACGUUGACCCGUAAUCCGGGUUGCGGACAGUGUCUGGUGGGUAGUUUGACUGGGGCGGUCUCCUCCUAAAGAGUAACGGAGGAGCACGAAGGUUGGCUAAUCCUGGUCGGACAUCAGGAGGUUAGUGCAAUGGCAUAAGCCAGCUUGACUGCGAGCGUGACGGCGCGAGCAGGUGCGAAAGCAGGUCAUAGUGAUCCGGUGGUUCUGAAUGGAAGGGCCAUCGCUCAACGGAUAAAAGGUACUCCGGGGAUAACAGGCUGAUACCGCCCAAGAGUUCAUAUCGACGGCGGUGUUUGGCACCUCGAUGUCGGCUCAUCACAUCCUGGGGCUGAAGUAGGUCCCAAGGGUAUGGCUGUUCGCCAUUUAAAGUGGUACGCGAGCUGGGUUUAGAACGUCGUGAGACAGUUCGGUCCCUAUCUGCCGUGGGCGCUGGAGAAUUGAGGGGGGCUGCUCCUAGUACGAGAGGACCGGAGUGGACGCAUCACUGGUGUUCGGGUUGUCAUGCCAAUGGCACUGCCCGGUAGCUAAAUGCGGAAGAGAUAAGUGCUGAAAGCAUCUAAGCACGAAACUUGCCCCGAGAUGAGUUCUCCCUGACCCUUUAAGGGUCCUGAAGGAACGUUGAAGACGACGACGUUGAUAGGCCGGGUGUGUAAGCGCAGCGAUGCGUUGAGCUAACCGGUACUAAUGAACCGUGAGGCUUAACCUU
rnacentral:rRNA from 1 species